UACGUAGGGUGCGAGCGUUGUCCGGAAUUAUUGGGCGUAAAGAGCUCGUAGGCGGUUUGUCGCGUCUGCUGUGAAAACUCAGGGCUUAACCCUGAGCCUGCAGUGGGUACGGGCAGACUAGAGUGUGGUAGGGGAGAUCGGAAUUCCUGGUGUAGCGGUGGAAUGCGCAGAUAUCAGGAGGAACACCGGUGGCGAAGGCGGAUCUCUGGGCCAUAACUGACGCUGAGGAGCGAAAGCAUGGGGAGCGAACAGG
rnacentral:rRNA from 1 species